rnacentral:rRNA from 1 species
UACGGAGGGGGCUAGCGUUGUUCGGAAUUACUGGGCGUAAAGCGCGCGUAGGCGGCUUAGCAAGUUAGAGGUGAAAGCCCGAAGCUCAACUUCGGAAUUGCCUUUAAAAACUGCAAAGCUAGAAUCAUGGAGAGGUGAGUGGAAUUCCGAGUGUAGAGGUGAAAUUCGUAGAUAUUCGGAAGAACACCAGUGGCGAAGGCGACUCACUGGACAUGUAUUGACGCUGAGGUGCGAAAGCGUGGGGAGCAAACAGG